UACAGAGGGUGCGAGCGUUGUUCGGAAUUAUUGGGCGUAAAGGGCGCGUAGGCGGUGCGGUAAGUCACCUGUGAAAUCUCCUGGCUCAACUGGGAGCUUGCAGGCGGAACUGCCGUGCUGGAGUGUGGGAGAGGUGCGUGGAAUUCCUGGUGUAGCGGUGAAAUGCGUAGAUAUCAGGAGGAACACCUGUGGCGAAAGCGGCGCACUGGACCACAACUGACGCUGAGGCGCGAAAGCUAGGGGAGCAAACAGG
rnacentral:rRNA from 1 species